UGCUAAUACAUGCAGUCGAACGAGAGCGACCGGUGCUUGCACUGGUCAAUCUAGUGGCGAACGGGUGAGUAACACGUGGGUAACCUGCCCAUCAGAGGGGGAUAACAUUCGGAAACGGAUGCUAAAACCGCAUAGGUCUUCGAACCGCAUGGUUUGAAGAGGAAAAGAGGCGCAAGCUUCUGCUGAUGGAUGGACCCGCGGUGCAUUAGCUAGUUGGUGAGGUAACGGCUCACCAAGGCCGUGAUGCAUAGCCGACCUGAGAGGGUGAUCGGCCACAUUGGGACUGAGACACGGUCCAAACUCCUACGGGAGGCAGCAGUAGGGAAUCUUCCGCAAUGGACGCAAGUCUGACGGAGCAACGCCGCGUGAGUGAAGAAGGUUUUCGGAUCGUAAAACUCUGUUGUUAGAGAAGAACAAGUGCUAGAGUAACUGUUAGCGCCUUGACGGUAUCUAACCAGAAAGCCACGGCUAACUACGUGCCAGCAGCCGCGGUAAUACGUAGGUGGCAAGCGUUGUCCGGAUUUAUUGGGCGUAAAGCGAGCGCAGGCGGUUCCUUAAGUCUGAUGUGAAAGCCCCCGGCUCAACCGGGGAGGGUCAUUGGAAACUGGGGAACUUGAGUGCAGAAGAGGAGAGUGGAAUUCCAUGUGUAGCGGUGAAAUGCGUAGAUAUAUGGAGGAACACCAGUGGCGAAGGCGACUCUCUGGUCUGUAACUGACGCUGAGGCUCGAAAGCGUGGGUAGCAAACAGGAUUAGAUACCCUGGUAGUCCACGCCGUAAACGAUGAGUGCUAAGUGUUGGAGGGUUUCCGCCCUUCAGUGCUGCAGUUAACGCAUUAAGCACUCCG
rnacentral:rRNA from 1 species